CUUCACCACUGUUCUGCCAAAUGUUCUGAACUUUGCCAAGGGAAAAUCUGACCUAACACAAUAUUACACUGACGCAAGACAGGAAGCCAUGGCUGAAGAUUUACCAGGAAUUGACUUAAGAGCUGGGCUUGUCAUUUUGCCAUCUAUCUUCAGGGAAAAGAUUGAACACUUACUCACUAUAGGAGAGGGAGACCCUGCUACACCUCAUCCAACCAUACAGCUGAUGGACAAUGACUGGAUGAAGGCAAUCAGUGGAAGAGGUUUCAGUGUGGUGAAAGUUGAUGGAAUAGGAGUGUGCC